rnacentral:rRNA from 1 species
CGGACGGGUGAGUAACACGUGGGCAACCUGCCUGUAAGACUGGGAUAACUCCGGGAAACCGGGGCUAAUACCGGAUAAUUCUUUUCCUCUCAUGAGGAAAAGCUGAAAGAUGGUUUCGGCUAUCACUUACAGAUGGGCCCGCGGCGCAUUAGCUAGUUGGUGAGGUAACGGCUCACCAAGGCAACGAUGCGUAGCCGACCUGAGAGGGUGAUCGGCCACACUGGGACUGAGACACGGCCCAGACUCCUACGGGAGGCAGCAGUAGGGAAUCUUCCGCAAUGGACGAAAGUCUGACGGAGCAACGCCGCGUGAGUGAUGAAGGUUUUCGGAUCGUAAAACUCUGUUGUUAGGGAAGAACAAGUACCGGAGUAACUGCCGGUACCUUGACGGUACCUAACCAGAAAGCCACGGCUAACUACGUGCCAGCAGCCGCGGUAAUACGUAGGUGGCAAGCGUUGUCCGGAAUUAUUGGGCGUAAAGCGCGCGCAGGUGGUUCCUUAAGUCUGAUGUGAAAGCCCCCGGCUCAACCGGGGAGGGUCAUUGGAAACUGGGGAACUUGAGUGCAGAAGAGGAAAGUGGA